rnacentral:lncRNA from 1 species
GUUUCUUAAAUGUAUGAAGUUUCUCUUUCAAUUUAGAAGUUUGGGUCAUUAUUUCUUCAAAUAUUUUUUCUGCCAGUUUGUCUUCUUCCUCUACUGCAACUCCCAGAAAUAAGCUUGAGACACGGUUUUGCCAUUGGCCAGGUUGGUCUCAAACUCUUGACUUCAAGUGAUCCGCCUGCUUCAGCUUCCCAAAGUUCUGGGAUUACAGGAGUAAGCCACCACGCCCAGCCAGCUUCCGAGACACUUCAAAAGAAUCCUAGGAUUCUGAAGAACACAAACUGAAACCCUCUGGGAAUUGGACUAGCAGGCUUCAGAGGAACCUUUAAGGUGAUCCAAUCCAACUAUUCACUUGAUGCUUGAACAACAAGAGCUGUUACAAUUGUUUCUCAUUUUGAAUCUGGAUUAAAGUAUGAGUCAUCUUUAAAAGAGUAAAGACAAGUGCUCUAUAGACAAGAAACAUGGCUUAUUCAUUCGGUUUGUUUCACAAUUCUUAGGUGCUUAUUGUUAAUUGAAUGAAACAAUGUGAAUUGCUGUGUUUGGAAACAACAAAAAUACUAAUAAUUGUGUAAUUAUAAAACUGGGAGAAGUCGUCCUCAAUUUUCAUAUCAAUAAACUGGUACAAUACUCAUAAAAAACUUGAAGGGUGUCUUAGUUUUGUGUUGCUAUAAGGGAAUAGCCAAAACUGGGUAAUUUCCAAAAAAAGUGUUUAGGUCGGGCACAGUGGCUCAUGCCAGUAAUCCCAACACUUUGGGAGGCCGAGGUAGGUGAAUCACCUGAGGUCAGGAGUUUAAGACCAGCCUAGCCAACAUGGCAAAAUCCUGUCUCUACUAAAAAUACAAAAAAAAAAAAAAAAAAUAGCCAGGUGUGGUGGUGCACACCUGUAAUCCCAGCUACCUGUGAGUCUGAUGCAGGAGAAUAACUUGAGCCUGGGAGGCAGAGGUUGUAGUGAGCCGAGGUCAGACCACUGCACUUCAGCCUGGGUGACAGAGUGAGAAUCCACCUCAAAAAAGAGUGAGGGGGUUAUUUAGCUAAUAGUCCUGCAGGCUGGGCCAUUCAAGGACAUCGUCCUGGCUUCUGGUAAGGGCCUUGGUCCUGCAAGACAACAUGGCAGAAGGUCAAACAGGAAGCAGACGUGCAAAAAUGGGACCAAACCAAAGGAGGAACCUCACUUUAUAACUAAUUUCUCUAAUUGAGACUGCAUUAAUCUAUUCAUGAGGAAUCCACCCCUGUGACCCAAACACUUCUCACGGGCCACAACUCCCAACACUGCCACAUUGAUAAUUAACUGCAACAUGCGUUUAGUGGGACACAUCCAAACCCUAGCACAGGUAACUAUAAA